rnacentral:rRNA from 1 species
GACGUAGGUGGCGAACGUUAUCCGGAAUUAUUGGGCGUAAAGGGUGCGUAGGUGGCCUGACAAGUUAUUAGUGGUAAAUCGAGGCUCAACCUCGUGGAAACUGGUAAUACUGUCCGGCUCGAGUACAGGAGAGGUUAACGGAACUCUAUGUGGAGCGGUAAAAUGCACAGAUAUAUAGAAGAACAUCAAUAACGGCGAAGGCAGUUAACUAUUCUGUUACUGACACUGGAGGCACG